GCAUACAAGAAAAUAUCAUUUAGCAAUCAAGUGGAGGUGCUGCUCAGUGUCCAUACAUAUUCGGAUGAAUGAUAACUAUAUUAGGUAAAUGUUUUUUCGUUGUUGCGGGUAGGUAAAUGUUAUUUGUGUGUGUGUGUAGAGAGAGAGAGAGAGAGAGAGAGAGAGAGAGAGAGAGAGAGAGAGAGAGAGAGAGAGACCUUUAGGUUUAGUUUCGGUGAGCUCUCUAGCAUCUGCUCCAUCCUGGCAGAGAAGCAGGAAAGACGCUAGUACGACACCAAACA